GAUGAACGCUGGCGGCGUGCCUAAUACAUGCAAGUCGAGCGAAUGGAUUAAGAGCUUGCUCUUAUGAGGUUAGCGGCGGACGGGUGAGUAACACGUGGGUAACCUGCCCAUAAGACUGGGAUAACUCCGGGAAACCGGGGCUAAUACCGGAUAACAUUUUGAACCGCAUGGUUCGAAAUUGAAAGGCGGCUUCGGCUGUCACUUAUGGAUGGACCCGCGUCGCAUUAGCUAGUUGGUGAGGUAACGGCUCACCAAGGCAACGAUGCGUAGCCGACCUGAGAGGGUGAUCGGCCACACUGGGACUGAGACACGGCCCAGACUCCUACGGGAGGCAGCAGUAGGGAAUCUUCCGCAAUGGACGAAAGUCUGACGGAGCAACGCCGCGUGAGUGAUGAAGGCUUUCGGGUCGUAAAACUCUGUUGUCAGGGAAGAACAAGUGCUAGUUGAAUAAGCUGGCACCUUGACGGUACCUAACCAGAAAGCCACGGCUAACUACGUGCCAGCCGCCGCCGUAA
rnacentral:rRNA from 1 species